rfam:Prunus persica cultivar Lovell chromosome G6, whole genome shotgun sequence.
AUACUUACCUGGACGAGGUCUAUGAGCGAUCAAGAAGGCUCAUGGCCUGGGUUGGUGACCUCCAUUGCACUUAGGAGGGGUGCUCGCCUAUGGUCUCCUCAACGUAGGAGAGCCAACGUCAUAAUUUGUUGUAGUUGGGGCCUGCGUUCGCGCGGCCCCUGC